UACGGAGGGGACUAGCGUUGUUCGGAAUUACUGGGCGUAAAGCGCACGUAGGCGGAUUUGUUAGUCAGGGGUGAAAGUCCCGAGGCUCAACCUCGGAACUGCCUUUGAUACUGCAAAUCUCGAGUCCGGAAGAGGUGAGUGGAAUUCCUAGUGUAGAGGUGAAAUUCGUAGAUAUUAGGAAGAACACCGGUGGCGAAGGCGGCGACCUGGGUCGAUACUGACGCUGAUGCGCGAAAGCUAGGGAGCAAAC
rnacentral:rRNA from 1 species